AUGCAGCUUUGUACUGCCAUGUAUAUUAGGAUUGCUGUGUGUGUUACUUGGUUAAAAAUAGAUUUUAUUCUUUAAAUGAAAGUAGAGAGGCUAUUCUUUUAUAUACUUGUGUGAUUAACCAGUCUCGCUAGAAUGUCUCCUUAUGCCAAGUAAAUUUUUCACUGGAAACAUGCUUUUUCUUCUGUGCUUCAUGUAACUGGAAAAUACAGUUUGAUGGCUAGAACUUAGAAGGCAGCUGUCACCAUGCUAGUGGAACAAGCUAUACAUUUGCUGUCUUUCUGGUCUGGACUGCUGCUGGUGGGACACCACCCAACCAUGUUAUUGUCCAUCUGUUUAUUAGCCUGUAUCAAGGUAUCUUGGGUACUUUCUUGCAAGUAGAAGUUAUAAGGAGACCUUAAGGAGUUUGCUUAAAUCCCUUUGAGCUGAUGUAGCAUGUGUUGAGGUAGUGUUCUGGACUUCUUGGACCUGUAUGUUUUUGCUCCCUCCUCUUUUGUCUUCCCUCUUCCCACCCUUAAACUGUGGUUAAUUGGAUUCAGUGUGGUGGUACUGAUCAGACAUGCUUAUGAUACCCUUCACACCAGCAAGCUAGGCCCUUUGAGAAAUUUGUAUUCCUUGUCAGCUCAUCUUCAGUUCACACAGAGAAGCCUCAGGCCUCACAGCAUCUCGGACAUUCAGGCAGGGUUAGUGGGAUUUCUGAAAUGUCACUUUUUGAAAUGAAACAAUAGCUUAACAUUUCAUCUCAAACUGUAUGUAACAAGUUUAAUGCUGUUUAGACUGGCAUGUUUUACAGAGGUUAAGAUGAAAUCCUGCAUGCAGUGCAGGUAUUAAGGUAUAAAGGUAUUUUUUUCUUAAGCCAACCAGUAUUUAAUUUUAAUUUUGUGUCUUGAAGUGGAUCCAGGACUCGAUGAAAAUAGAUGAAGAAGAUAAGGAGGGGGUAAAAUCUGAAAACAGCAAAGCUGAAGAUAAUGUAAAGGAUGCUACUCCAAAUCCAUUAGAAAAAUACAUGAAAAUAAUUCAGCAGAGUAGAGAGCAGGAACUGGCAAACAAGGAUUUAAAAAAAGAAGAAAUAGGAGAAGUAUCACUUACAGAGGGACUUAUAUCUAGUGGAAAGGAUGACAGUGCUACAGGCAUUUCUCACGAAGACGUGGAUGAAAACUUCUGGUGAACAAUAACUACUGAUUAAUUUUUUUUUUCCAAUAAAAUGUGUUUAAAGAAGCCUUAUGCCUGUAAA
rnacentral:lncRNA from 1 species